CUGACAUACUAGUACUGAAUGGCUGGAGGGAGGUUCUGCUGUCUGACAUACUAGUACUGAAUGGCUGGAGGGAGGUUCUGCUGUCUGACAUACUAGUACUGAAUGGCUGGAGGGAGGUUCUGCUGUCUGACAUACUAGUACUGAAUGGCUGUAGGGAGGUUCUGCUGUCUGCUGUCUGAAUGCCUGUAGAGAGGUUCUGCUGUCUGACAUACUAGUACUGAAUGGCUGGAGGGAGGUUCUGCUGUCUGACAUACUAGUACUGAAUGGCUGGAGGGAGGUUCUGCUGUCUGACAUACUAGUACUGAAUGGCUGGAGGGAGGUUCUGCUGUCUGACAUACUAGUACUGAAUGGCUGGAGGGAGGUUCUGCUGUCUGACAUACUAGUACUGAAUGGCUGUAGGGAGGUUCUGCUGUCUGACAUACUAGUACUGAAUGGCUGUAGGGAGGUUCUGCUGUCUGCUGUCUGAAUGGCUGUAGAG